rnacentral:rRNA from 1 species
GACGGCGUCCAGCGAUGCUGCAACCAGCCGAGCAUGGCGUUGCCCACCACGGGCACGGUGACCACGCUGACGGGUGCUGCAAACCACGGUGGCAAAACGAUGGAACCGUGGCGGAGGAUGCUGGAACCGGCUGAGCCCGAUGCUGCGACGAGGCGGCGAUUUUUGGUGUGGUGAAGUUUUUGGUGGAACCAGGCAUCAGCGGUGCUACAACCAGCCACAAAAAUUGCUGGAACCGGCAUCCACCGGUGCUGGAACCGGACGCGCCUUCCCACCGCGAACGGUUUUUUGCUGGAACUUGCUACUUCUUUUGCUACAUCUACUUUCCUUUUGGAUUUUGCUUCCUGUUAUUUUUGCUGGAACCGGACACUCCUCGCACUGCCGACGUGCUUUUUGGCUGGAACCAGCUUUUCUUUUUGCUGAAACUUGCUACAUCGACUUCUUCAUUUGGUGGGGAUGGGUGGUGUUUUUGCUACAACCGGCAACUACAAAAGUUACAUCUACAACCGGCAACUACAAAAGUUACAUCCGGCGAGCGGUUUUUGUACGACCAGCAAUGAGGAUGAGUACUUCCUUUUUGCUAGCUCAUUGUCAGCAUGCUGCGACCGGCGACCGGCGCCACCGGAGCUGCGGUCGUCGCCACAGGGAGCUGCAGCCACGGGCGCACGCUGCUGCAUGCAUGUAGCGAGAAACGCAAGAGGUGGCUACGAUGGCGACCUGCAGGGACGAGGACGACCGGCGGCGAGGGCAGCGACUAGCGAGAUGUGCCAGGCAGUGCUUCAAGGCCGGGUGCGUCGCUAGUCCAUGGCUACCUGAUGGAAGCUUGUUUUUUCCAAAGAAAAAAAUACAUUGACAGAGAAAGGAGAGAGAAUCGUGUGGCUACCCGAUGUUUGAUCGGACGCUGCUGGUGCGACCGGCCCAAAUUUCGGCGGGCGCACCGGCGCGUGUGACUCGCCAAACUCUAACCCACACUGCGGGGACAUGAGCGCAGCCGACGAGCGGGACCAGGGGAACACCGGCCCACCCGUCAUAGGUACUCCCUCCGGUCCUUUUUACUCCACGUAUUAGAUUUGUCUGAAGUUAAACUUUGCUAACUUUGACCAAAUUUAUAAUAGAAACUAUUAACAUAUAUAAUACCUUAUGAAAAUAUAUUCGAAGAUGGAUCUAUUGAUAUUGGUGUUGGUUGUUAUUAGAAUGUUAAUAUUUUUUUAAUAAAUUUGGUCAAACUUUGAAGAGUUUGACUUCAGAUAAAGCUAAUAUGCAGAGUAAAAAUGACCGAAGGGAGUACGACACAAGCGUGGGCGUGAAAACCAGGUGCAUGUGCGUCCGCCAACCCUUCAGCAGCGUUGCGCAGUCCUCGCACGACGCACGCCACAGUCAGCGCGCAACGACCCAUGCGACGCGCCAGGGGCGGUCUACCCGAGAAUUUCUAACCCAGCCAAUGGAAGAACUGGGCGAGCCCACCAGUCAUCAUAGCCCACGCUCGAUCACUGGGUCAAAAUAGAAAGUAAAAAACGUGCGGCCAACAAGGCGCGUUGACCCGACCAAGCGAGAUCAAACGGCCAUGACAAUGUGAAAUCGGUGGAUCGCUCGGGAGGGCGGGUCGUCCCGGAACCUUAUAUGUUAGAAUAUAAUAUAAUUAAUUAUCAAAAGCACACUAACUGAUUUCUUCUUUCAUAUUUUAUAAUCUGUUAAUUGUAGAUAUUGCUGGUGUAGUCAUGUACGUGGGCCCAGUUGACUAUGAUACAUAUUCCCCUCUAUGCAUGAGGGAAGUAGCACUGAUCGAUGCUGCCAUGCGAAUUAUCUUCCUACACAUUUUUGAAGAACUAGUUGAACGCCAUUGGAAUGAACUUCUUUCUGCUGAAGCAAAUGUUGGCUUAAUCAUGGCAACCUCGAUGAAGGUUCAUCAACUAUCCAAAACUCUUAGCACGGGGCAACAACUUUAUGCAUACAUUACUCCUCAACUUGCCACAAAUUUCACUUUCUUAAAGGUGUGCAUGAUCAAGUUCGUGAUGACUUGUCUUUCCGUGAUGCUAUCAAGAAUGAAGUUCUUCUUAGGAAGGAUGCCCGCAAACAAGACGAUGUGGAUAACUCACUUGUCCCCAAGAUAACCGCGACUGAAGUAGACUUUUGCUCUGGUCAAUCUUCCCCCGUGAAGCAAAAUUUCAAAUAUAUAAGGGGUGAUGAGCGUCCACCAAUCAACGUCAACAAGAAGGAUCAAUUGGACUAGGCAUAAAGGUCUCAAAUAAAUAAGAAGUGUGAAACUAAAGAAUUUCAAGCCCUUGGAUUCCUAGCCUUUUCUUUCGGUUGUUGAAUUUUGAGUUUUGCUUAAUGACUUGUUU